AGAAAAUUGUGAAGAAGAUGAGGUAAUCUAGUCAUUAUUUCUUCUUUAAAGUAACAGUGCCGAGUGUUGUUCUGUUUGAGUUAGACGAGAAACAGAAAUAUAGCAAAAUGCCCCGAGAACUCACAGAAAUCAAAGAAUUUCUCUUGACAGCCCGAAGGAAAGAUGCCAAAUGUAA